rnacentral:rRNA from 1 species
AGGUUAACCGAAUAGGGGAGCCGAAGGGAAACCGAGUCUUAACUGGGCGUUAAGUUGCAGGGUAUAGACCCGAAACCCGGUGAUCUAGCCAUGGGCAGGUUGAAGGUUGGGUAACACUAACUGGAGGACCGAACCGACUAAUGUUGAAAAAUUAGCGGAUGACUUGUGGCUGGGGGUGAAAGGCCAAUCAAACCGGGAGAUAGCUGGUUCUCCCCGAAAGCUAUUUAGGUAGCGCCUCGUGAAUUCAUCUCCGGGGGUAGAGCACUGUUUCGGCAAGGGGGUCAUCCCGA